UACGUAGGGAGCAAGCGUUAUCCGGAUUUAUUGGGUGUAAAGGGUGCGUAGACGGACAUGCAAGUUGGCUGUGAAAUCCCGAGGCUCAACCUCGGAACUGCAACCAAAACUACAUAUCUUGAGUACUGGAGGGGAAAGCGGAAUUCCUAGUGUAGCGGUGAAAUGCGUAGAUAUUAGGAAGAACACCGGUGGCGAAGGCGGCUUUCUGGACAGCAACUGACGUUGAGGCACGAAAGUGUGGGUAG
rnacentral:rRNA from 1 species